rnacentral:tRNA from 1 species
UUCAUUUGAUUUUUAGUUUUGUAGUCUUUAGGUAGGGUCAGUUUGUCCUUGAAGGAAA